UGGCAUUCGAGUGGCGGACGGGUGAGUAACGCGUGGGUAACCUGCCUUACACAGGGGGGUAACACCUGGAAACAGGUGCUAAUACCGCAUAAGCGCACAGGGCCGCAUGGCCCGGUGUGAAAAACUCCGGUGGUGUAAGAUGGACCCGCGUCUGAUUAGCUUGUUGGCGGGGUAGGGGCCCACCAAGGCGACGAUCAGUAGCCGGCCUGAGAGGGUGGACGGCCACAUUGGGACUGAGACACGGCCCAAACUCCUACGGGAGGCAGCAG
rnacentral:rRNA from 1 species